AAUUUUAAGAGUUGUGAAAUAUUCGCCUUUUGAUUUUUUUUCCAAUCAUUAAAAGUGUGAAAACUAUUCUUAGCUCAUGGGCCACACAAAAAUAGGAGGCUGGUUCGGUUUUGCUCAUGGGCCACGGUGGGCUGACCCUCUUUUAGAGCUGGUUCUGCCAUUUAUUAAGCAUGUAAUUUCGGGCAGAUUACCUAGGUAAGCCUCAGAGCUCUCAAUGACAAGAUUGGAAAAGUCAUAAUGAUUUCCACCUGCAGGGACUAGAGGAUGAAAUGCAAUAAUUGUAAAGUGUUUAGCAAAUCACUUAUACAGUUAGCCCUCAGUGGAUGGGAGGUGUCAUAAUUUGAUGAUGCUACAUUCUAGGGAACCAUUUGUCCUCCCAAAAUAUACUGAUAGGGGAUUCUACUCUCUUUCAAACAACCUCAGCCUUUUCCACACCUGGUGCUAAUGAAAAUUUGUGUAUUAAAGGGAAAUCCAGAUAUGUCCACAGGACAGAAAUACUUUUUUUUUUUUAAGCCAAAGAUAAACCUUUAAAAAAUAAUAACUCGUGGUGACAAGAAAGGCCCAAAUGAAAUGAAAACAGGCUGCAUGUUUGGCCUGCUGACAAAAUCAGGAUAAGGAGCUUCUGCUUUCUGGCCUUAGUUUCUUCAUCUGUAAAAUAGGGAUAAUAACCAUGGUCUCUACCUCAUAGGAUGGAGGAGAAGAUGAAACAGGAUAAUAGGUGUCAAGGGCAUAGCGCGGUGCUUAGCCCGGGGUCAGCACUCCUCCAGGGCAGGUGGACUUCAUGUUCUGUGUCUCACUGGCGCUCCCCUCCAAGCUCAAGUUCUGAAGAGACCGAUGUUGAUGCUGAUGGUGGUGGUGAGGUGGGGAGGGAAUUGCCUAUUAGCUGAAUAUGUACCUUUUAUUCCUGAGCAUUAAAGAAACUGAGAUCUUUGGCAACCCUUUGCUCCAGGCACCUAGAGGAUUCAGCCCCAGGACUAGGGUCAUGGUUCUGCGGGGCCCCGGCAUCACCACGGGAGGCUGGGAGGGCAGCAGGAAGAAGACGCCUGUGAGCACAGAAAGCAGCUGAGGAGCUGAAUCCAGGAAAAAAUGCCGAGUCUGUCCGCUCAGCAUGUGCCAACCUGGCCUAGAUUUGCCCAGAUCUGGCUCUCUGCUCUCCCUCUUCAGAAGCAGAAGCUUGUGACUUGGCACCUGCUUCUGGAAGCCUCCAUAGACAGACCUUCUCAGAUGAUGCUACACCCUUGAGGCAGGAAGGAUAGGUCUGGAGGCGAGAGCAGGGCUCUCGAGACCCAAGAGGCCGAGUAGGGUGUCUGUCCUCUUGGGCCUGAGGUUCCCUGCUCGUCAGUGGGAAUCUCGGCCCGCACCCAGAGGACUCCUGACAUUUGCACUGACCAUGCUGCAAGGUGACCUUCUGCAUCCUGCAGUGGUGGAUGGUGAGGACCAUUGGUAACCAAGCAGAUGAAAUCCUGGGAGGUACAAAUGAGGAAGGUCAGCCCUGUCCUUGGCUGUCCCUUCAGACAGCUUCAUUGCCGGCCAGUCAUGCCUUCUAGCCCAGGGGCUGCACUGGCAGUGAUUUGGGGCCUGCAUAGGGGAAGGCGGGUGGUGCUGCAGACUGAAGAGGAGCUGCUUUUGCCUGGCCCAUCCAUCUCUCCAGAGCCAGCCUCCCACCUUCCCACUCCCACUCAGUCAGUCUUAUAUAGGCAGCGCUGGCAAAAAUUACAGGUCAACUGGCGUUUCAGUUCAGUGGGACUCCCCAUGGCACAGUCAGAAAGGGCAGAGGCCCUUUCUGGACUCUUUAUCUGCCUGAGAUUUACUGAGCCCUGCUAGUUUCUUCUCAGUAUUCCCACCUCUCCUCUAGAACCCUGACUUUAACUGGGAAUAACAGCACCUUUCCGAUGGAUUAAAUUUCCCAGCUUGCCUUGGAGUUCAGUGUAGCCACCUAGUAAGGUCAGGCCAAUGAAAUGUAAGCUGAGUUAUUGUGUGGGACUGCUGGAAAGUUUCCUUAAGGAAGGAGUAAUACACAUGUCUGUGCUUUCUUGUUCUGAAUGCAGAAUUCAGAUGUGAUAGCUGGAGCUCAAGCAACCGUCUUUGACCAUGAAGUAGACACACCAAGCCUAGUGGAGUAGCUAAGUAGAAGGAGUUUGAGCCUCUGAUGAUGACAGUGCCACAAAACUUUCCCUACGUUGCACACCUGCAGACAUUUUUCAUGAGAGAUACUCUUUCAGGUGAUGGUGACACAGCAGUGAGGAUGGUACAUGUGGUAACCUGCCCUGUAUACUCCCGUUCUAGUGGAGAGAGAACCACAAAUGAUGAAACACAAUAAUUCCAGGAAAUAAUCAGUGCUAUGAAGUACAGAAAACAAGGUAAUGUUGAGUGAAACAUGAUUCUAAGCCUGUCACAUGUAUUAGCCAAAUUAAUUUUCAUGCCAAUUCUGUGAGGUAGAGGCUAUUAAUAUUCCCAUUGUACAGUGGCCUGUGUAAGGACACACAGCCAGUGAGUGGACGAAGCAGCAUGUGAAUCCCAGCACUUAGCCUCCAGAGCCGACACCAUUUAACAGUGGGCCCUGCUGCCUGCUGAGGGGCUAAAGAGAGAAAGCCACUCAGCUGGCAUUGGGCCCUCUUAUUCCCGUCCAAUGGUCUUUAUAUCAAUACUGUUUUCAGCAUGGUGGUCCUGGGGCGUGAGACUUCUUAAGAACCAGCAUCCUUAGAGUACCAUCUGGAAGCUGCAUGACCUUUCUGACCUGAGUCACGCUGUCUCUCUUCCAUUGCAUAUUAUUGGUUACAGGAAUCAGCCUCAAAUCCAGGACAACCUUCCAAGAUAAGUCCCUGGAGAGUCCCCAAAGCUGUGGAAUUGCCUGAGGUUUGGGGAAUAUGGACCAGGGCAGGAGAAGCUUGAGAUCCUGCUCCAAAACUCUUCCAAGUCCUCCCACCCCAUCACCUCCACCCCCUCAUAUCACCUCGGAGACAGUGAGCCACUGGCCCCAAGAAGUGUCACUAGAUGGUUCACGGAAUAGCAAACAUAGGAAUGAAUAUAUAUUAUCAUAUAUUAUAUCAUAUAUUACACAUUAUAUAUAUGUAUUAUAUAUAUUAUCAUAUAUUAUAAAAA